GCGCUGGUGCUGGAACUGGCAGACAGGCAUGGUUGAGGGCCAUGUGCCGAAAGGCGUGGAGGUUCAAGUCCUCUCCAGCGCACCA
rnacentral:tRNA from 2 species